GGGGUUUCACCAUGUUGCCCAGGCUGGUCGCUAAUUCCUGGACUCAAGCAGUCCACCAGUCUUAGCCUCCCAAAGUGCUAGGAUUACAGGCGUAAGACUGCAACUGGCCAUGCCUUUUUUUUGUUUAAUGAAACCAAUGACAAGGUAAAGGUCAGUGUUUGUGCUUUAGCAUUUCUUCUUAAAGAAAGAUGAAACUCUUCAUAAUAGUGAUGAAUUAAGAUGGAAGAUUAGCUGAGUUGAACUUACUAUGGAUAGUGUGUAAACCAGUUGCAUCUAUUUGAAGUUCUUACUGUGACGAGUGGUCUCUAAGGAAUGUAUUUGUUGAAAAGUCUUUGGUACAAACCAAGAAAGGUAACCUUUAUCAAAAAGACCAAAUAAAUUCUCAUUGUCCUAGUUCAUGAAAUAAUACUCAGGGCAUGCACCUCACAACUUAGAAAAUGCGCGUUACCUCACCCUACUGGCUUCCAUAUUACACGUGCAAGAGAUAUUUGUAUGAGAGAAUGAGUGCUUCUAAGUCAGUGAAACCUACCAACCUAUAUAUACCCUCUGACUUUUUUUUUUUGGAGACAAAAAUUUGCUCUUGUUGCCCAGGCUGAAAUUGUGCCACUGCACUCCAGCCCGGGCUACAGAAUGAGACCUAUC